rnacentral:rRNA from 1 species
CCUACGGGUGGCAGCAGUGAGGAAUAUUGGUCAAUGGACGAGAGUCUGAACCAGCCACGUCGCGUGAAGGAUGACUGCCCUCUGGGUUGUAAACUUCUUUUAUAAAGGAAUAAAACGAGGCACGUGUGCCUUUUUGCAUGUACUUUAUGAAUAAGGAUCGGCUAACUCCGUGCCAGCAGCCGCGGUAAUACGGAGGAUCCGAGCGUUAUACGGAUUUAUUGGGUUUAAAGGGAGAGUAGCUGGGUUGUUAAGUCAGUUGUGAAAGUUUGCGGCUCAACCGUAGAAUUGCAAUUGAUACUGGCAGUCGUGAGUACAGUUGAGGUAGGCGGAAUUCGUGGUGUAGCGGUGAAAUGCGUAGAUAUCACGAAGAACCCCGAUAGCGAAGGCAGCUUACUAAACUGUGACUGACAUUGAUGCUCGAAAGUGUGGGUAUCAAACAGGAUUAGAUACCCUUGUAGUC